rnacentral:rRNA from 1 species
UACAGAGGUCCCAAGCGUUGUUCGGAUUCACUGGGCGUAAAGGGUGCGUAGGCGGUCGGGUAAGUCUGGCGUGAAAUCUCCAAGCUCAACUUGGAAACUGCAUUGGAAACUGUCCUGCUAGAGGGUUGGAGGGGGGACUGGAAUACUUGGUGUAGCAGUGAAAUGCGUAGAUAUCAAGUGGAACACCGGUGGCGAAGGCGAGUCCCUGGACAACACCUGACACUGAGGCACGAAAGCUAGGGGAGCAAACAGG